CCUACGGGAGGCAGCAGUGAGGAAUAUUGGUCAAUGGGCGAGAGCCUGAACCAGCCAAGUCGCGUGAAGGAUGAAGGAUCUAUGGUUUGUAAACUUCUUUUAUAUGGGAAUAAAGUGAGGAACGUGUUCCUUUUUGUAUGUACCAUAUGAAUAAGCAUCGGCUAACUCCGUGCAAGCAGCCGCGGUAAUACGGAGGAUGCGAGCGUUAUCCGGAUUUAUUGGGUUUAAAGGGUGCGUAGGUGGUUAAUUAAGUCAGCGGUGAAAGUUUGUGGCUCAACCAUAAAAUUGCCGUUGAAACUGGUUGACUUGAGUAUAUUUGAGGUAGGCGGAAUGCGUGGUGUAGCGGUGAAAUGCAUAGAUAUCACGAAGAACUCUGAUUGCGAAGGCAGCUUCCUAAACUAUAACUGACACUGAGGCACGAAAGCGUGGGGAGCAAACAGGAUUAGAUACCCGGGUAGUC
rnacentral:rRNA from 1 species